GGGGAGAUGGCCGAGUCGGUCCAAGGCGCUACAUUAAGGUCGUAAUCUCUUCAGAGGUGUCAGCUCGAAUCCGGCUCGCCUCA